AGUGAACGCUGGCGGUAGGCCUAACACAUGCAAGUCGAACGGCAGCACAGUAAGAGCUUGCUCUUACCGGUGGCGAGUGGCGGACGGGUGAGGAAUACAUCGGAAUCUACUUUUUCGUGGGGGAUAACGUAGGGAAACUUACGCUAAUACCGCAUACGACCUACGGGUGAAAGCAGGGGAUCUUCGGACCUUGCGCGAUUGAAUGAGCCGAUGUCGGAUUAGCUAGUUGGCGGGGUAAAGGCCCACCAAGGCGACGAUCCGUAGCUGGUCUGAGAGGAUGAUCAGCCACACUGGAACUGAGACACGGUCCAGACUCCUACGGGAGGCAGCAGUGGGGAAUAUUGGACAAUGGGCGCAAGCCUGAUCCAGCCAUACCGCGUGGGUGAAGAAGGCCUUCGGGUUGUAAAGCCCUUUUGUUGGGAAAGAAAAGCAGCAGGUUAAUACCCCGCUGUCCUGACGGUACCCAAAGAAUAAGCACCGGCUAACUUCGUG
rnacentral:rRNA from 1 species